rnacentral:lncRNA from 1 species
UCCACUCUUUUGGCUCCAAUGGAUCAUAGGGAUGCAGAAUCAUCGACGCUUAGUUAAAAGGCAGAUGAUAAAGCUAGGAUGAGACAAAUUAAAUGCUGUUGUUUUGCACCCAAUUUCACCUGGCUGUAGACUGUAUCUAGCUAGCUCUUCUAUGCAAUGCUUUGCUAAGAUUCCCUUCUCAAAGCUUGGAAUGCUACUCUAGCCUAACUUUAGCAUCAAAAUCUUUUC